rnacentral:rRNA from 1 species
AAAAGAAAAUAGUAAUUCUGGUUGAUCCUGCCAGAGGCCAUUGCUAUCAGGGUUUGACUAAGCCAUGCGAGUCGAGAGGUGUAAGACCUCGGCAUACUGCUCAGUAACACGUGGUUAACCUGCCCUAAGGUGGAGAAUACUCCCGGGAAACUGGGGCUAAUGCUCCAUAGUGGAUAUGUCCUGGAAUGGUAUAUCCUCGAAAGAUCCGUCGCCUUAGGAUGGGACUGCGUCCGAUUAGGUUGUUGGCGGGGUAACGGCCCACCAAGCCAUUGAUCGGUACGGGUUGUGGGAGCAAGAUCCCGGAGAUGGAUUCUGAGACAUGAAUCCAGGCCCUACGGGGCGCAGCAGGCGCGCAAACUUUACAAUGCGAGCAAUCGUGAUAAGGAAACCCUGAGUGCCUGUCGAUGCAGGCUGUUCAUAUAUCUAAAUCAUAUGUGAAGAAAGGGCAGGGCAAGACCGGUGCCAGCCGCCGCGGUAAUACCGGCUGCUCGAGUGAUGGCCACUAUUACUGGGUUUAAAGCGUCCGUAGCUUGACUGUUAGGUCUCUUGGGAAAUCUUCACGCUCAACGUGAAGGCGUCUAAGAGAUACCGGCAGUCUUGGAACUGGGAGAGGUAAACCGUACUUCGGGGGUAGGAGUGAAAUCUUGUAAUCCUCGAGGGACGACCUAUGGCGAAGGCAGUUUACCAGAACAGCUUCGACAGUGAGGGACGAAAGCUGGGGGAGCAAACGGGAUUAGAUACCCCGGUAGUCCCAGCCGUAAACAAUGUGCGUUAGGUGUGUCGGUAACCACGUGUUACUGAUGCGCCGAAGAGAAAUCGUGAAACGCACCACCUGGGAAGUACGGUCGCAAGGCUGAAACUUAAAGGAAUUGGCGGGGGAGCACCACAACAGGUGGAGCCUGCGGUUUAAUUGGAUUCAACGCCGGACAUCUCACCGGAUAAGACAGCUGAAUGAUUGUCAAUCUGAAGGUUUUACAUGACUAGCUGAGAGGAGGUGCAUGGCCGUCGUCAGUUCGUACUGUGAAGCAUCCUGUUAAGUCAGGCAACGAGCGAGACCCACGCCGACAAUUGCCAGCAGCAUCUCCGGAUGGCUGGGGACAUUGUCGGGACCGCCUCUGCUAAAGGGGAGGAAGGAAUGGGCAACGGUAGGUCAGCAUGCCCCGAAUUAUCCGGGCUACACGCGGGCUACAAUGGACGGGACAAUGGGUAACAACACCGAAAGGUGCAGUCAAUCUCCGAACCCCGCCCUUAGUUAGGAUUGCGGGUUGCAACUCACCCGCAUGAAUCUGGAAUCUGUAGUAAUCGCGUUUCACUAUAGCGCGGUGAAUACGUCCCUGCUCCUUGCACACACCGCCCGUCAAACCAUCCUAGUGGGGUUUGGAUGAGUCCCUGGUCUUUGCCGGGGUCGAAUCUAGGUUCCGUGAGGAGGGUUAAGUCGUAACAAGGUAGCCGUAGGGGAAUCUGCGGCUGGAUCACCUCCUAAA